AGCAGGACAGGGAAGGAAGCAAAGCCACUAAGGAGAACAGGAAUGGACAGCUGUUCCUAAAGAUCAAAGGACACCUCUGGAAGGAGACCCUCAGGUUAAUGAUGAAAACACUUGUUCAAUGUCAAUUCAGCAUCAUCGGUUUUCCAUGAUCUGCCUGAAUUCAGGGUCUAAUUCUUGUGUAUUUAGCAGGUUCUCUAUAAUUAUGGAGUGAAUAAAUGAAUGAGUAGAGAGAAGGGAAUAUGAAUGAUAUACUUCCUAAUAGCAGAUAAUCCAAAAGCCAUUUUCUUAGACAUUGCAAAGCAUUAUAUGAUUUUUUUCUGUUGUAGAUUUACUUCCUUAAUUACAUUUGGUUUCGGUUAAUACUAAAAUUCAUGUUUUCUAGUGUGUUCACACUAAUUAUGUGAAUUUACAAGCCUAGAGAGUACUGAACAGCAAGGAGACAUCAAGAGUAAACUAAAAAUGUUCCAGUGAUAAUUCUUAAGUGGGUAAUCCAGUUAAUUCUUCUAAGCGCCAGCAUAUGUUACCUAUACGUUUCACCAACUCCUGCUCUCUCCUAAAUAUUUAAAUUUCAGUGGAAGGAGCGACUUUAUAUGUACGGCUUGUACACUGUCAAUGCUUUGCCUGAAAAAAGGAGAGGUUUAAUUUCAAAUAUUUUCAAACUAUUUUUUGUAGAUUCCUUUACUCUUGAAACACUGCAAUUCUGGAGAUUCAUCUAAUUCUGGAGAUGACAAUAGGUCCCAUUCUGAAGUUUCAAUUUUCUUAUUUUUGAAGUGGAAAUAAACAGAUGGUUGUGAGGAUUAAAGGAGAUAAUCCACAUAGAUUUGGAAAGUUCCCAGCUCACUAUAAAUACCCAACACUAUUGGGUAACUUCCUUGUUACUACUGUUACAUGCUCUGUAGAGUAAAUGAGUGUCGACUUUGGCUUUCCUAUGAAGCUGUUAGUGGUUGGGAUAUCUUCACUGAUACUAAGCCCACAGCCUAGUGAUUUGCAAACUUUUCACCUAAAGAGCUCUUUAUGAUUUGUAGCACACUAAAUGAACACCUUUUAUUAAGUAACUAAAAAAAUUAAUCAAAGAUACUUAACUGCCAAUUAGAGCUUCUGAUUGACAUGACAUAAUCCAUAAUCAGUGGUAUAAUAGAUUGAUGUAAUUCCAGCUGUUUAGCAAAUUAAUACACACUUCCCUUUAGGCUUUAAAAACUAUGACUUCUAUUAGCUCAAAGACUCUCAUUAUUACCUACUGUAGACACAGCUAUAUUUAAAGACCAUGAUUUAUGUGCUGUUUUGUAUUUCUCUGGGGCAGAAUGUUGCACAGAAAGGGGUACAGCAAUAGGUAAUUCAACUACUUUAUUUAGCAGAUCAGUAAACUGAGGCCCAGGGUAGUGAUGUGAUUGCUGACGUUAGUUAGAGGCAGAGUUGGGACUAGGAUCAGAUCUUCUAAUGCCAAGAACUAUAUUUUUCCCAAGGUAGCACAUGAAUUCCACAUAAGGGGUAACUAAAUCAUCCUUUGAUAUUUGAGGGCAUUUUUAUCCAGAAGGAAGAGAUUUAAACUUCUUUGCCCAUAAUGAAGAUAAUAGCCAACAAUUACUGAGUUGUUCCUAUGCAUCAGCCACAAUGCUAAGUGCUUCAUAGGUAUAAUCAUAUUAAAUAUUCACAGCAACUUUAUAAGGUAGGUACUAGUCUUAUCCCUAUUUUACAAUUGGGAAAGUAAGGCUCAGAGAGGUUAAGAACUCAGACUGUAAAUUGUGAGCCAGCAUUCCAAGUCAGGUGGCCCUGACUCUAGAGUAGUCUAGAUCCUCCUCUUUGACCACUCCACUGACCUGCCUCCACACACCUGAUCCCUGUGUCAAAAGAGAUGGAAGACAAUGUCCAGCGUCUGUGGCUGCUUACUUCAAGAACUUAGGACAACUAUGUAAAUGAAGACAAAACCAUGGAUUCCAGGCUGGAAAAGCCAAGGAACUUUUACCUAUCUUGUGUUCAUGGUCUGCGUUCUUAGCUCAAGCUACUUGUAAGUGUAAUAUUGGCUCAAUGGAAGCCCAGUGAAAAUGUGGCUUCAUCACAUUAUCAUAUUUCGCAUUUCAUCAGUGAAAAUCUUUCUUUACUCCUGCACAUUUAACUGACAAAUUUAACCAUUCAAGAACCAAGAAUGGGACUGGGGAGAUCAUAAAAUUACCCAAAAAACAGUCAUAAAGCCUAUGUCCAUGUAUCUCUUUAUUUGGGAGAGUCCCUCUAAUACUUUACUCGUGGCAGACGCGUUUCCUUUAUGGAUUGCUUUUGCACGUUCUUUCCAUUUUUCAUUUGUGUGAUUUUAAAUUGGUUUGCAGGAACUCUUUAUAUACUCAGCCUAUCAAUCCUUGGGCUGUCAUACAUGUAUAGCUGUUUUUCUAUCUGUUGAUUGCAUUAUAAUUUUAUUCGUCCUUUACAUGUAAAAUUGUAAUGUUAUGUAGAAAAAUCAAUCAAUCCUUUUCUUUAUUAUUUCUGCCUUGAGUAUGAUAGAAAGCACACCCCAUUCCCAAGAAUGCAUUAAUACUCACAUAUAUUUCUUCUAUUGUUUUUAUAGUGUCGUUUUUGUACUUCUAAAACUUUAAUCAAAUUGGAGUUACUUUUACUGUUUGGUGUAAAAUGGAGAAACUUCCUUAUUUUCCCAAAUUUUUAGUCCUUAAACCCACCCAUUUGGUGAAAAUCCACCCCUUUUCCAUUUAUUUGAAAUGUUCUAAUUUCUGAUUUACACAAUUUCUUCUGCAAUUUCUAUGGUGUUUCAUCAACACAUUUCUGCAUCAGUAGUAUA
rnacentral:lncRNA from 1 species